AUACGGAGGGUGCGAGCGUUAAUCGGAAUUACAGGGCGUAAAGCGCGCGUAGGCGGCUAGAUCAGUCGGAUGUGAAAGCGCUGGGCUUAACCUGGGAACUGCAUUCGAUACUGUCUAGCUAGAGUAUGGUAGAGGGAAGCGGAAUUCCGGGUGUAGCGGUGAAAUGCGUAGAUAUCCCGAGGAACACCAGUGGCGAAGGCGGCUUCCUGGACCAAUACUGACGCUGAGGUGCGAAAGCGUGGGGAGCAAACAGGAUUAGAAACCCCGGUAGUCC
rnacentral:rRNA from 1 species